GCUGGGCGGAGUUGAAGUGGACGUGGAUGUCGAGCGCGCCCGGCGUCGCGAUCAUCCCCUCCGCGGAGAUCACCUCGGUGUUGGCGCUGACGAUCAGCUCCUCGUCGACGCCGUCCAUCGUGUCGGGGUUGCCGGCGUUGCCGACGCCGGC
rnacentral:ncRNA from 1 species